rnacentral:rRNA from 1 species
GACAGAGGGUGCAAACGUUGUUCGGAAUUACUGGGCGUAAAGGGCGCGUAGGCGGCUUAUCAAGUCAGGCGUGAAAUUCCCGGGCUCAACCUGGGGGCUGCGCUUGAUACUGAUUGGCUUGAAUGCGGGAGAGGAUAGUGGAAUUCCCAGUGUAGAGGUGAAAUUCGUAGAUAUUGGGAAGAACACCGGUGGCGAAGGCGGCUAUCUGGCCCGUAAUUGACGCUGAGGCGCGAAAGCGUGGGGAGCAAACAGG